UGGGGAAUAUUGGACAAUGGGGGCAACCCUGAUCCAGCCAUGCCGCGUGAGUGAUGAAGGCCUUCGGGUUGUAAAGCUCUUUUGGCGGGGACGAUGAUGACGGUACCCGCAGAAUAAGCCCCGGCUAACUUCGUGCCAGCAGCCGCGGUAAGACGAAGGGGGCUAGCGUUGUUCGGAAUUACUGGGCGUAAAGCGAGUGUAGGUGGUUGUCAUAGUCAGGUGUGAAAGCCUUGAGCUCAACUCAAGAAAUGCACUUGAUACUGGGCGACUAGAGGACCGGAGAGGAUAGUGGAAUUCCCAGUGUAGUGGUGAAAUACGUAGAGAUUGGGAAGAACACCAGUGGCGAAGGCAGCCCCCUGGGAUAAUAUUGACGCUCAUGCACGAAAGCGUGGGGAGCAAACAGGAUUAGAUACCCCGGUAGUCCCUGAGCGGGCUGGCAAGGCGCAU
rnacentral:rRNA from 1 species